rnacentral:rRNA from 1 species
UACGUAGGGUGCGAGCGUUGUCCGGAAUUAUUGGGCGUAAAGCGUGCGUAGGCGGUUGGCAAAGUCAGCUGUGAAAGCCCCGGGCUCAACCUGGGAAUGGCGGUUGAAACUAGUCGACUCGAAUCUGGCAGAGGGGGGUGGAAUUCCACGUGUAGCAGUGAAAUGCGUAGAGAUGUGGAGGAACACCGAUGGCGAAGGCAGCCCCCUGGGCUGAGAUUGACGCUCAGGCACGAAAGCGUGGGGAGCAAACAGG